CUCUUCCGGGAGGCAGCAGUGGGGAAUAUUGCACACUGGGGGAAACCCUGAUGCAGUGACGCCGCGUGAGCGAUGAAGGCUUUCGGGUCUUAAAGCUCUGUCUUAAGGGAAGAUAAUGACGGUACCUUAGGAGGAAGCCCCGGCUAACUACGUGCCAGCAGCCGCGGUAAUACGUAGGGGGCGAGCGUUGUCCGGAAUUACUGGGCGUAAAGGGUGCGUAGGCGGCCUUGUAAGUCAGAUGUUAAAGCCCUCGGCUUAACCGAGGUAAGCAUUUGAAACUGCAGGGCUUGAGUACAGGAGAGGAGAGUGGAAUUCCUAG
rnacentral:rRNA from 1 species